GCAAGCGUUGUUCGGAAUCAUUGGGCGUAAAGGGCGCGUAUGUGGUUCUGUAUGUCUACCGUGAAAGCGUACGGCUCAACCGUAUUUUGUCGGUGGAAACUGCAGGACUUGAGGCUGGGAGGGGCUGGUGGAAUUCCCUGUGUAGCGGUGAAAUGCGUAGAGAUGGGGGAGAACACUCGUGGCGAAGGCGGCCAGCUAGACCAGUUCUGACACUGAGGCGCGACAGCGUGGGGAGCAAACAGG
rnacentral:rRNA from 1 species